UGAAUCCUUUGUGUCCUUCUGUUUUUGAAAUAUCAUAUAGGAUAAAUCCUAAAGGCUUAGAUGAUGAUGAUGAUAAAUCUAACUUACCUGUGGUCAUUGCACUUAAAUUUGUGAAUGGGUUCCUGCAAUUUUCUUCCGGUAAUUUUAUACUUGCUUUCUUGUUCCAAUCGUCUUAGGAGUUGUUAUCUUGUUGUUACAUGGAAGAUUUAUGCAUUCCCAUGUAUUAGUGAUUUAAAUACAAUAGCAUUCUCUCUUUCCAAACAAACAUGAGAUGGUCUUGAAACAGAAAUUCAGAAAUCCUAGUAAGUGUAAAAAUCCCAAAAUCAUAAUUUUUUUUUCUCUGCUCCUGAAAUUGCCAUGAGCCAAACAGCCUAAAGAAAUCUAUCCCUACUUGAUGCAUAUGAAAACCGUACUCCAUUUGAUAUAUCUUCCUUUAUUUAAGCGUUAUAGAUUUAUAGAACCUGUUAGGAUUAGCUACUGCUAGAAAUGGAAAAUUAUGAAAAACAUAUACUCUAGCCUCAAAGAUUUAAUAAACAUAUAAAGGAAGAUUCAGGUUGGACAAGUACAGGAAACUUGUACUGCAAAAGAACUAUGUGAAAUUCUUGGUAGUUUUCACUCGUGUUAUGACAAAAAAAAAAAAUCAGCUUCUUUGAUAAUCCUUUUAUUUUUUUUGUUCUUUAAAUCAGCUCUAUACUCGCAAGCAUAGUUGGUUGGCCUCAGUGUGUGGAAGCAAGGCGAGGGUCUGUUUUAGGCAGAUAACAAUAUGCAGUGGUAGUUGAUGUAGUUAAUUGAAGAACUUGAACUCAAGGGUCUGUUUGGAUAGUGAUUAGUGAGACAAGAAAAGAUUGUUACCCAAGAUUUUCAUGACACAGAUUCCCAUGGAUUCCAUUUGGGAGGUUUUACUCGCAUAUGUUACCUGCUCCGUGGGCAUUUAUGCCAUUUUAAUCUAAUGUUGUUAUGUUACUAAUGGACAUGCAUUCAUGUUGAACUUGUCCACAUUUUGCUAUGGUCUUUCAAAGUUCUCUGGUGGGGUAAUGAGUACCCUUGACUUCUAUCAAUCUCCCCCUGUUGAUUUCUUACCGUUUCUUCCAAUAAUCUGCAGCAUACAUAAGGGAUUCUGCUUUCGUCAAGGAGUUUCAUCAGCAAUUUCAGAUCUCACCGAAAGGUUGCUUCUUGAGGAGCGAGACCCCCCUGCAACUCCCCAGGAGAGUCUUUAUGAGGCGCCUCCAUUUGAUGGGG